rnacentral:lncRNA from 1 species
GCAGGGACGGACUGAGAGUAAAAAAACCAAAUGUAACCCGUCAUAGAAUCGCUGCUGUUUCUUUAUGAAUGAAUGUAAUAUUCAUGCCAGACAAUGUGGAGUGAUAAAUAGCAGUGGACGCUCGGACCUGGGAUUUUACUAUGCUCUAUAGUGAGAGAGGCAUGCAAAGCAAGGCAAAGUGUCGUGGCUUAUGGAGCUAAACUCUGAUGUUUAACAAAGCACCGUAAUGAGUGGGAAAGUCUGGAUAUUGAUCACUGCAAUUUCAUUCAUCACCCAUGUUUACCAUGUCCAGUCUAAGUGCAUGAAGCAAGACAUUAAGGCACAUCUGGUGAGUCUAUCCCUCAUUGUUUUUGCGAUUUUUUUUUUUUUUUUUAUUUUAUUUUAUUUUUUUUCUGCCCAUAUCGUCCCAACUAAAUCUGAGGCUUGUUGCCUU